AGUGAACGCUGGCGGUAGGCCUAACACAUGCAAGUCGAACGGCAGCACAGUAAGAGCUUGCUCUUACGGGUGGCGAGUGGCGGACGGGUGAGGAAUACAUCGGAAUCUACUUUUUCGUGGGGGAUAACGUAGGGAAACUUACGCUAAUACCGCAUACGACCUACGGGUGAAAGCAGGGGAUCUUCGGACCUUGCACGAUUGAAUGAGCCGAUGUCGGAUUAGCUAGUUGGCGGGGUAAAGGCCCACUAAGGCGACGAUCCGUAGCUGGUCUGAGAGGAUGAUCAGCCACACUGGAACUGAGACACGGUCCAGACUCCUACGGGAGGCAGCAGUGGGGAAUAUUGGACAAUGGGCGCAAGCCUGAUCCAGCCAUACCGCGUGGGUGAAGAAGGCCUUCGGGUUGUAAAGCCCUUUUGUUGGGAAAGAAAAGCAGCAGGUUAAUACCCCGCUGUUCUGACGGUACCCAAAGAAUAAGCACCGGCUAACUUCGUG
rnacentral:rRNA from 1 species